rnacentral:rRNA from 1 species
UACGAAGGGGGCUAGCGUUGUUCGGAAUUACUGGGCGUAAAGGGCGCGUAGGCGGCCCUCCAAGUCAGGUGUGAAAGCCCCGGGCUUAACCUGGGAAUUGCAUUUGAGACUGAAGGCUUGAGUUCGGAGAGGUGGGUGGAAUUCCCAGUGUAGAGGUGAAAUUCGUAGAUAUUGGGAAGAACACCGGUGGCGAAGGCGGCCCACUGGA